CAAAGAACCAACAGCAGUUUCAAGUCGCGAACCAGCAGCAGCACCCUAUAGAACGGGAACAGCUCUAUUGUCCUUCGCCGUAUACCACCAGGGGAGGGCGUCUCGGAUCGCUCUACACGACGGAAGAAUUACGGUCGGGAUGGGCUUCCGCGCACAGCCUACAGAGCGCCAUUGAGGAGCCAGAGGAUGAUAGAUUAAGGCCACACCAUACCUACGAAGUGCCUUUCCUCCGGAGGCCAUUGGACUCCAAACAAGACCAGAUAGGCACGCAGGAAGACGUGUCAAGUUCAACAGAGCGCCUUGGAGACCAUAUAUACUGCAAACCUACUAACUGUGUACGUGUCCCCAGAUAAGUGCAAGGCCCAAUGCAAGUCCCUGCAGACGCUGAGCGUCAUCGAGGGCUACCGCAACAGCAAUGUCUCGUACGUCUACUCGAGACCAAAAAAGAAGAACUGGGGCAGCAACAAUGAAGAAAUUUUCUACGCUGAGCAGAAGAUGCGAAAUCUAGCUAGGUACGCAGAUGGACUGAAGCAAGAGGAAAUGGAAUCGCGCGAAAGUGGCCUAGAGUUUCCGGUCGACACGUAUGAACUAUCUGAGGCUGAGUGUGACAUGCCGACAAGGCAUUGCUCAGUUCAAACAUAGGCUGCUACAGGAAUAAGUGGCCACUCACAUACAGUCAGACCAACCCGGCUAAGUGCAGAUCACCACAGGUUUCUCCCGCGACACCUCUGUGCUGCAGUGACCAACGCUACUGCGAAUCUUGUGAUGUGUCUAAGAAGGACGCUAAAUGUUCCGGACAUUUUUGUGGUGCAGAACUCUGUAUUACUCGAACAUUUCUUCAAACUUAUCGCGAGACUGACCGUUUUCAAGGGAACUCAAGACUUCAGAAAUACUGUUUUCUGCUGUGGUGCACUUCUUCACAAGAAGGAGAGAGCUGUUUAAUGAACAAGCUGCAUUUCAAGGUUUAGCGAUGGGGCAUGUGUUGAGUUUUGUUCGUAGCUAUGGACCCAAUUCGCUAAACAAUCACUCCCCUGUGUCAAAAGUGGUCCUUGGCUUCAUUCAGAGCCCUGAAAUCACAAACUUAUCUGGGAUGAUCUCAGGAUAGCAAGGCGCCAAAUGGACGAUGAUCAGUACAAGAAUGAGGUACAAUAUCGCCAUUGGUCAGACUGGUUGGCAUUGACAAUGUAAGCAUUUAUUGUUGAACGUUGGUUGUUACAUUGCGCACCAUUCGUUCGAGAGAUGGUGAUUGGCAUGCGCAUGCGUGAAUGAUUCAGGAUGAUAUCAACCCAACAAUGCUACUUGAGUGAUAAUUUUACUCUGCCGGUAUUGCGCUUGACUGUUCAUCGACGAUAACAUAGCGUGGAAAUAGAAAUUUAUUGAUUGCACGAGAUAUUAGUGACAUUUUUGUUUCUCUUCUAAGCACUUUAAGAUAAACAGGUAUUUUGGUUUUGCGAACGUGUACAUUCAGCAAAUUUCUUUAAAAAAUAAAACUUGCAAGAGAUAGAUGGCUCUGGUUCUAGUUAAAUGUUAUAAUCGGUACUCGUGAUGUUGAAAAAUGAGCCUACUUACAAGAAGGGCCACUUUUUUGUCAGAAUAAUCAUUGGACAUUAAAUGAAUGAGUUUAUUGAUACAGGAGAUUUGUUUUUUGGUGAGCAGCUGAAAUGAGUGUGGCACCUGGCAGCGCAAAUCUCAAUAACGCGUUCCAUUCUACACGGUCCCGAAGAUCCAGUUUGGCAGUACUCAUUGCGUGAACUAAACUAAAAAAAUUCUGCAGGGCACAGGAAUGUCAACGAGCUAACGGCACUACAAGACCCCUAAGAACCGCCCUUAGGUUGUUUUUUUUCUAUUUUUACCUUGUACGCACGCAAUAAUCUCACAAUGUCGCAACAGCCUGUUCAAAUGAAAACAAAAAUACAGAAGAGAAGAGAAAGAAAUGUUAGCAAGCCGAUAGGCAAUUUUAUAGCGCAUCUGGUACAUCUGUUAAUCUAACUUGCACCCAUGACAGCCAAGUUUUUAGAAAAAUAUUUUUGUGCACUCCAUUUUUUAAACAGUAAAAUACACUGUUGUUAUUCACUCUUUAUGAAAGGUUUAUAACAUCCCCACUGCCGAUGAAUGCUUUCACUGCUGUAUUGAAAAAAAAGAAAUGUUACCUUCAUAAGGCAUUAAACAGCUGGCUUGGGAGUCUGGUGUGAGAUGGCGAUGUGUUGUCUUUGUAGUUAAACAUCUGGAUAACAAUGUAUCGUUUGAUCGAGUGCUUGUUACUUAUAGUUAUUCGCGUGGUGCAAGUGUUGUAAGCUCACAAUAGCUACAUCUGUAAAAAAAUGCCGUUGGUAUAAAUGAAUGGAGCAGUUGUUAAUUUGUCCGGUGUUCAUAGGUGCAAGCAUGAUGUGUUGAGAGGUUGAAAGUUGGCCUGAAUUCACGUGAGACUUUUUUAUACUCGAGUUCCCACAAGAUUGUUUCUAUUUUGGCUGUUUACAUAAAUAAAUUCCGCCUGCAUGGUGGUUUCCCACUU
rnacentral:lncRNA from 1 species